UGAGACUUGGUGUGGAGAUAACAAUGGAUCUGCUAUCAAUGUCUUGAAGAAACGAAGUAUUACCUCGUUUAUUUGUUCGCUAAAAUGAAGCCAAGAUGUGUAUCAAAAUUCUGAUAACUUAAACACUUCAAUUAAUCUAAUUAAAGAUCACUGAUUUCUCCAGUUGUGCCACAAUAUCGGGCUUAAGACUUAUGAGUUCUUGCCGUUCCUGGGUCAACGUCGUCAUGUAAUUCAGUAGUUUCUGGGUUAGCCCGAUCGGUAACAACUAGACCUAUAUCGACCGUAUUAUCUUACUGAAAAAAAUAAUCCUCCACGCGAUUACCUUAGAGCGGUAGUCCUGACCUCUUCGCAUGAAAAGUCUUUUUUCACUAAAAUAAGCACGCUCCACCGCGCGAGAACCUGUUUUAAACCCCUAUAAACUACUUACAUCGCAAAGUUUGCACCAUUAACAGAAAGCCAUAACCCCGUAAUGAAUGAUCUAAUACACGAUUGAGUGGUUUCGCUGGCACCUCGAUUCUGUCGUCGCUUCAUCUUGCGGCCAAUCGCGUGUCGACUGCGACUUUCUAAACAGCUUCUAUGCAAAGUUCCAUUGACAUAGGGUUUCAUGCCAUUCUAUUAACCUACCAUGAGUUUCUGUAAGCCCUUCCAUUAAUAUCUGCGUUCUUUCGUUUUCUUACUAAAGUUUUUUUCAUUUGCUUUCUAAGCUUUCUUUCUUCAAACAAAAGUUUUUAUUUAAAUCAAAUAAAUUACAAAAAUACAUUAUAAAGAGAAGCUUACAAACUCACAGCACAGGAAUUUCGCGGCAUUUCUUGGGUGUUUCCGGAAAGCUGCGCUGUCAGACAAUAGUAAUUUUUCUUAAUUAGACUCACUGUUGAGAUUUUAAGGCUUGCUUGAGCUAUUACCUUUGAUCCUUAAUUUACUCACGCAAUAACAUAAUAACUAUAAGUUCAAGUUAAAAAAGCACCUGUAAUUUCUUAAACUUAAGCCUAUAGCUGCCCCUGACCUGUAUAUGCAUACAUAUUUCACCAAAAUCAAGAAGCUCUACAUCAGCGAAAAGUCGAGAAAGCUCUUGACUUUUAUCUUGGAACCCUGUUACGUUGCCUGAAAGUUUUCUUGUAAUAUCCAUCUGGCUGUCCUGCAUCAAUCUUGCUAAAAAGCUGAGAA